CGAGGUAGCUCAACUGGCAGAGCAACGGUUUUGUAAACCGUAGGUUGUGGGUUCGACUCCCAUCCUCGG
rnacentral:tRNA from 1 species